UUCCAAUCGAACCUGGAUAUAGCUGGUUCUCCUCGAAAUAGCUUUAGGGCUAGCGUGUGAUGUUAAACUUUGGUGGUAGAGCACUGAAUAUGGAAUGGCGGCGCCUAGCUGUACUGACUAUAAUCAAACUCCGAAUACCAUUGUGUAUUAUCAUGCAGUCGGAACAUCGGUGAUAACGUCGAUGCUCGCGAGGGAAACAACCCAGAUCGUCAGCUAAGGUCCCAAAAUUGUGUUAAGUGAUAAAGGUUGUGAGAUUUCUCAAACAACUAGGAAGUUGGCUUAGAAGCAGCCACCUUUUAAAGAGUGCGUAAUUGCUCACUAGUCAAGAGAUCUUGCGCCAAUAAUGUAACGGGACUCAAACACAAUACCGAAGCUACGGGCACAUUAUGUGCGUUAGGAGAGCGUUUUAAUUUCGUUGAAGUCAGACCGUGAGGACUGGUGGAGAGAUUAAAAGUGAGAAUGCCGGCAUGAGUAACGAUUCGAAGUGAGAAUCUUCGACGCCUAUUGGGAAAGGUUUCCUGGGCAAGGUUCGUCCACCCAGGGUUAGUCAGGGCCUAAGAUGAGGCAGAAAUGCAUAGUCGAUGGACAACAGGUUAAUAUUCCUGUACUUGGUAAAAGAAUGAUGGAGUGACGAAAAAGGAUAGUUCUACCACUUACUGGAUUGUGGGGUAAGCAACAAGAGAGUUAUAUAGGCAAAUCCGUAUAGCAUAAUCUUGAGUUGUGAUGCAUAGUGAAGACUUCGGUCGAGUAACGAAUUGAAUGAUUUCAUGUUUCCAAGAAAAGCUUCUAGUGUUAAUUUUUUAUCAACCUGUACCGAGAACGAACACACGUUCCCAAGAUGAGUAUUCUAAGGCGAGCGAGAAAACCAAUGUUAAGGAACUCUGCAAAAUAACCCCGUAAGUUCGCGAGAAGGGGCGCCUAUUUUUAAUAGGCCACAGAAAAUAGGGGGGGCAACUGUUUAUCAAAAACACAGCUCUCUGCUAAGUUGUAAAACGACGUAUAGAGGGUGAAGCCUGCCCAGUGCCCG
rnacentral:rRNA from 1 species